rnacentral:rRNA from 1 species
CAGCCCCUCGAGUGGUGGGGAUGAUUAUUUGGCCUAAAGCGUCCGUAGCCAGCCGUGUAAGUCUCCCGUUAAAUCCAGCGUCUCAAGCGUUGGACUGCGGGAGAUACUGUACGGCUAGAGAGUGGGAGAGGUCAGCGGUAUUCUGGGGGUAGGGGCGAAAUCCUUUGAUCCCCGGAGGACCACCAGUGGCGAAGGCUGCUGACUAGAACACGUCUGACGGUCUGGGACGAAAGCUGGGGUAGCGAACCGGAUUAGAUACCCGAGUAGUCC